CCCUUAGAUGUUCUGGGCCGCACGCGCGCUACACUGAUGCAUUCAACGAGUCUAAAACCUGCUCUGAUAGGGGUGGGUAAUCUUUUGAAUGUGCAUCGUGAUUGGGAUAGAUGAUUGCAAUUUUUCAUCUUCAACGAGGAAUGCCUAGUAAACGCAAGUCAUCAGCUUGCAUUGAUUACGUCCCUGCCCUUUGUACACACCGCCCGUCGCACCUACCGAUUGAAUGGUCCGGUGAAAUCUCCGGACUGGCGUGAGUCGGAGCAAUCUGACAAACGCCGGAAAGUUGAUUAAACCUUACCAUUUAGAGGAAGGUGAAGUCGUAACA
rnacentral:rRNA from 1 species